rnacentral:rRNA from 1 species
UACGUAGGAGGCGAGCGUUGUCCGGAAUUACUGGGCGUAAAGAGCGCGUAGGCGGCACGGUACGACCGGUGUGAAAGCCCCCGGCUCAACUGGGGAGGGUCACCGGUAACGGCCGAGCUAUGAGUGCAGGAGAGGGAAGUGGAACUCCGGGAGUAGAGGUGAAAUGCGUAGAGACCCGGAGGAACACCAGUGGCGAAGGCGGCGUCCUGGCCUGCGACUGACGCUGUGGCGCGAAAGCUAGGGGAGCGAACGGG